AUGUUUAACAUUUUAAAGCCCUUUCCAUUCAAAUCAAAGCACCUGUUAACCCAAACAACCAUUAUACAAUAAUUGUGUUAACCAAGAGUUGUACUA
rnacentral:sRNA from 1 species